rnacentral:rRNA from 1 species
UAGUCCACGCCCUAAACGAUGGAUACUAGUCGUCGGGUUACCUAAUAGACUCGGUGACGUAGCUAACGCGUUAAGUAUCCCGCCUGGGGAGUACGGUCGCAAGAUUAAAACUCAAAGGAAUUGACGGGGGCCCGCACAAGCGGUGGAGCAUGUGGUUUAAUUCGAUGCUACGCGAGGAACCUUACCUAGGCUCGAACACUACCGGACAGACCCCGAAAAGGGUUUUUCUUCGGACUGGUAGUGAGGUGCUGCAUGGCUGUCGUCAGUUCGUGUCGUGAGAUGUUGGGUUAAGUCCCGUAACGAACGCAACCCCUAUCGUUAGUUACCAGCGGGUUAAACCGGGGACUCUAGCGAGACUGCCUGCGCAAGCAGUGAGGAAGGUGGGGACACGUCAAGUCGUCAUGGCCCUUAGCCUAGGGCUGCACACGUGCUACAAUGGACCGGGACAAUGGGGCAGCCACUCUGCGAAGAGGAGCUAAUCCUAAAACCGGUUCUUAGUUCGGAUCGGAGUCU